CCUACGGGUGGCUGCAGUGGGGAAUAUUGGGCAAUGGGCGCAAGCCUGACCCAGCAACGCCGCGUGAAGGAAGAAGGCUUUCGGGUUGUAAACUUCUUUUUAGAGGGAAGAGCAGAAGACGGUACCUCUUGAAUAAGCUACGGCUAACUACGUGCCAGCAGCCGCGGUAAUACGUAGGUGGCAGGCGUUGUCCGGAUUUACUGGGUGUAAAGGGCGUGCAGCCGGGAAGACAAGUCAGAUGUGAAAGCCCGCGGCUCAACCGUGGAACUGCAUUUGAAACUGUUUUUCUUGAGUACCGGAGAGGUCAGCGGAAUUCCUUGUGUAGCGGUGAAAUGCGUAGAUAUAAGGAAGAACACCAGUGGCGAAGGCGGCUUACUGGACUGUCACUGACGUUGAGGCUCGAAAGCGUGGGGAGCAAACAGGAUUAGAUACCCGUGUAGUC
rnacentral:rRNA from 1 species